CUGUUUUGCAGCAAUUUGUGAGAAACAUGGAGACUGGACAGAAUUUUUAAUUCAAGAUUUGACUGGUGCAAGGACAGCUCCUGCAAACCUUCUGGAAGGGCCACUAAGAGGGAAGAACGCUGUGGACCUCAUUACCCCUAAAUCUCUUAUUGAACUUCAGGAUUAUCAAGAUCCCUUCCAAUACUGGAUAGUCCGUGUAAUUGAGAAUGUUGGUGGCAGAUUGUGCUUACGCUAUGAAGGGUUGAACGAUAUUGAAAAACAUGACCAGUGGUUGUUUUAUCUGGACUAUAGACUCCGACCGGUGGGAUGGUGCCAGGAAAACGGCUGCAAGUUAGAUCCACCCACAGAAAUCCAGGCUCUUAAAAGUGACACUGAAUGGAAAGAUGUCCUUGAACAGGCUCUCUGUGAAGCUGAAAAAUUCCCAUUGCCACUAGAGGUGUUUAAGG